GUGCCUGCUUCGGCAGCAUAUAUACUAAAAUCGGAAUGAUACCAUGGCCCCUGCACAAGGAUGACAUGCAAAUCCGUGAAGUGUUCCAUAUUUAA
rnacentral:snRNA from 1 species